rnacentral:rRNA from 1 species
UACGGAGGGGGCGAGCGUUGUUCGGAAUUACUGGGCGUAAAGCGUGCGCAGGCGGUUUGGUAAGCGAGAUGUGAAAGCCCCGGGCUCAACCUGGGAACCGCAUUUCGAACUGGCAAACUAGAGUCUUGUAGAGGGGGGUAGAAUUCCAGGUGUAGCGGUGAAAUGCGUAGAGAUCUGGAGGAAUACCGGUGGCGAAGGCGGCCCCCUGGACAAAGACUGACGCUCAGGCACGAAAGCGUGGGGAGCAAACAGG